rnacentral:rRNA from 1 species
GAUGAACGCUGGCGGCGUGCCUAAUACAUGCAAGUCGAGCGAACGGACGAGAAGCUUGCUUCUCUGAUGUUAGCGGCGGACGGGUGAGUAACACGUGGGUAACCUACCUAUAAGACUGGGAUAACUUCGGGAAACGGGAGCUAAUACCGGAUAAUAUUUUGAACCGCAUGGGUCAAAAGUGAAAGACGGUCUUGCUGUCACUGAUAGAUGGAUCCGCGCUGCAUUAGCUAGUUGGUAAGGUAACGGCUUACCAAGGCAACGAUGCAUAGCCGACCUGAGAGGGUGGUCGGCCACACUGGAACUGAGACACGGUCCAGACUCCUACGGGAGGCAGCAGUAGGGAAUCUUCCGCGAUGGGCGAAAGCCUGACGGAGCAACGCCGCGUGAGUGAUGAAGGUCUUCGGAUCGUAGAACUCUGUUAUUAGGGAAAAACAAAUGUGUAAGUAACUGUGCACAUCUUGACGGUACCUAAUCAGAAAGCCCCGGCUAACUACGUG